rnacentral:pre_miRNA from 1 species
GUUUGUGAGUGGUGUUCAGCACCAAGGACAGGUAUGUUAGCGUAUGGAUGUAUGGUGUCCAGCACCAAGGACAGGUUUGUUAACCU